UGGCCAAUGAAGAUAGCCAAUUUGAAAAAUACCAUCUUUCGGGGCUGAUUGGUGUUGGUAACCAUGCUGCCGUUCUGUGAUUCAGAGGCCU